rnacentral:rRNA from 1 species
UACGGAGGGUGCAAACGUUGCUCGGAAUCAUUGGGCGUAAAGCGCACGUAGGCGGCCUGAUAAGUCGGGUGUGAAAGCCCUGGGCUCAACCCAGGAAGUGCACUCGAAACUGUCAGGCUUGAAUAUGGAAGAGGGUCGCGGAAUUCCCGGUGUAGAGGUGAAAUUCGUAGAUAUCAGGAGGAACACCGGUGGCGAAGGCGGCUUCCUGGACACUUACUGACGCUGAGACGCGAAAGCGUGGGGAGCAAACGGG